AGCCUCUGGUUUCUCUUCAGAUCGUAUAAAUCUUUCGCCUUUUACUAAAGAUUUCUGUGGAGUGGAACAUUUAUGAGUUUGUAACUAAUUUUGUGAGCCAGUUUGGCC
rnacentral:snRNA from 1 species